UUAAGCGAAUAAGCGUACACGGUGGAUGCCUAGGCAAUCAGAGGCGAUGAAGGACGUGCUAAUCUGCGAAAAGCGUCGGUAAGGUGAUAUGAACCGUUAUACCCGACGAUAUCCGAAUGGGGAAACCCAGUAUCCAAUGGAUACUAUCAUUAACUGAAUCCAUAGGUUAAUGAGGCGAACCGGGAGAACUGAAACAUCUCAGUACCCCGAGGAAAAGAAAUCAACCGAGAUUCCCCUAGUAGCGGCGAGCGAACGGGGAGCAGCCCAGAGUCUUAAUCAAUAACAGUGUCAGGAGAACGGUCUGGAAAGUCCGGCAGUAAAGGGUGAUAGCCCCGUAUCUGAAGAUGCUGUUAUUGUGAACUCGACGAGUAGGGCGGGACACGUGUUAUCCUGUCUGAAUAUGGGGGGACCAUCCUCCAAGGCUAAAUACUCCUGAUUGACCGAUAGUGAACCAGUACCGUGAGGGAAAGGCGAAAAGAACCCCGGCGAGGGGAGUGAAAAAGAACCUGAAACCGUGUACGUACAAGCAGUAGGAGCCUCUUUAUGGGGGACUGCGUACCCUUUUGUAUAAUGGGUCAGCGACUUAUAUUCUGUAGCGAGGUUAACCGCAUAGGGGAGCCGUAGGGAAACCGAGGUCUUAACUGGGCGAAUGAGUUUGCAGGGUAUAGACCCGAAACCCGGUGAUUCUAUCCAUGGGCAGGUGAAGGUUGGGUAACACUAACUGGAGGACCGAACCGACUAAUGUUGAAAAAUUAGCGGAUGACUUGUGGAUGGGGGUGAAAGGCCAAUCAAACCGGGAGAUAGCUGGUUCUCCCCGAAAGCUAUUUAGGUAGCGCCUCGUGAACUCAUCUUCGGGGGUAGAGCACUGUUUCGACUAGGGGGUCAUCCCGACUUACCAACUCGAUGCAAACUGCGAAUACCGAAGAAUGUUAUCACGGGAGACACACGGCGGGUGCUAACGUCCGUCGUGAAGAGGGAAACAACCCAGACCGCCAGCUAAGGUCCCAAAGUCAUGGUUAAGUGGGAAACGAAGUGGGAAGGCUCAGACAGCCAGGAUGUUGGCUUAGAAGCAGCCAUCAUUUAAAGAAAGCGUAAUAGCUCACUGGUCGAGUCGGCCCGCGCGGAAGAUGUAACGGGGCUAAACCAUGCACCGAAGCUGCGGCAGCGACACAAAGUGUUGUUGGGUAGGGGAGCGUUCUGUAAGCCUGCGAAGGUGUACUGUGAGGUAUGCUGGAGGUAUCAGAAGUGCGAAUGCUGACAUAAGUAACGAUAAUGCGGGUGAAAAACCCGCACGCCGGAAGACCAAGGGUUCCUGUCCAACGUUAAUCGGGGCAGGGUGAGUCGACCCCUAAGGCGAGGCUGAAAAGCGUAGUCGAUGGGAAACGGGUUAAUAUUCCCGUACUGGUGGUAACUGCGAUGGGGGAACGGAGAAGGCUAGGUUGUCCGGGCGACGGUCGUCCCGGUUCAAGCAGGUAGGCAGAGUGAUUAGGCAAAUCCGGUCACUUAAUGCUGAGAUGUGAUGACGAACCACUAAGGUGGUGAAGCAAUUGAUGCCCCCGCUUCCAGGAAAAGCCUCUAAGCUUCAGGUUACCAACAAUCGUACCCCAAACCGACACAGGUGGUCAGGUAGAGAAUACUCAGGCGCUUGAGAGAACUCGGGUGAAGGAACUAGGCAAAAUGGUGCCGUAACUUCGGGAGAAGGCACGCUGGCGGUAGGUAAAGUCCCUUGCGGACGGCGCUGAAGCCAGUCGAAGAUACCAGCUGGCUGCAACUGUUUAUUAAAAACACAGCACUGUGCAAACACGAAAGUGGACGUAUACGGUGUGACGCCUGCCCGGUGCUGGAAGGUUAAUUGAUGGGGUUAGCCGUAAGGCGAAGCUCCUGAUCGAAGCCCCAGUAAACGGCGGCCGUAACUAUAACGGUCCUAAGGUAGCGAAAUUCCUUGUCGGGUAAGUUCCGACCUGCACGAAUGGCGUAAUGAUGGCCAGGCUGUCUCCACCCGAGACUCAGUGAAAUUGAACUCGCUGUGAAGAUGCAGUGUACCCGCGGCAAGACGGAAAGACCCCGUGAACCUUUACUAUAGCUUGACACUGAACAUUGAGCCUUGAUGUGUAGGAUAGGUGGGAGGCUUUGAAGUGUGGACGCCAGUCUGCAUGGAGCCAACCUUGAAAUACCACCCUUUAACGUUUGAUGUUCUAACCUAGGCCCAUAAACUGGGUCGGGGACCGUGUCUGGUGGGUAGUUUGACUGGGGCGGUCUCCUCCUAAAGAGUAACGGAGGAGCACGAAGGUUGGCUAAGCAUGGUCGGACAUCAUGCGGUUAGUGCAAAGGCAUAAGCCAGCUUGACUGCGAGAGUGACGGCUCGAGCAGGUACGAAAGUAGGUCUUAGUGAUCCGGUGGUUCUGAAUGGAAGGGCCAUCGCUCAACGGAUAAAAGGUACUCCGGGGAUAACAGGCUGAUACCGCCCAAGAGUUCAUAUCGACGGCGGUGUUUGGCACCUCGAUGUCGGCUCAUCACAUCCUGGGGCUGAAGUAGGUCCCAAGGGUAUGGCUGUUCGCCAUUUAAAGUGGUACGCGAGCUGGGUUUAGAACGUCGUGAGACAGUUCGGUCCCUAUCUGCCGUGGGCGUUGGAAGAUUGAGAGGGGUUGCUCCUAGUACGAGAGGACCGGAGUGAACGCACCACUGGUGUUCGGGUUGUCAUGCCAAUGGCAUUGCCCGGUAGCUAAGUGCGGAAGAGAUAACCGCUGAAAGCAUCUAAGCGGGAAACUUGCCUCGAGAUGAGUCUUCCCUGUCGCUUUAAGCGACCUAAAGGAACGUUUAAGACUAAGACGUUGAUAGGCUGGGUGUGUAAGCGUAGCGAUACGUUGAGCUAACCAGUACUAAUGAAACCGUGAGGCUUAACCUG
rnacentral:rRNA from 1 species